UCCUCAAAAAACUUUUGCCUGUCCUUCAGUUUUACCUGUGGCUGGACAGGCUCCACCUCCGGUACUCUCUGAGCAUGCUCGAGCUCCAACUCCGCUGUGAUUGGAGGACAAGAGAAAAGAUGACAAGCUUUGUUUAAGCAACCUCGUGAAAAUGGCCUUUAGAUUUGGAGGUCAGGGUGAUGCAUGACACUUGCAUAUAAAAUAACCACUGAAGUCCAGAGGUAACCAAGCAACAAGCAAACAACAAACGCUGUAAGCACGAGUUGCCCGCUGCUCUCGCCCACUUCAUCAUGCACUCAAGAGCUCAUUUACAACAGCACUGCAUCUGUGUUGACUGAAAACUCAAGCACGUGAACAUCAGUGACUGCGGUUCUGAGUGCAUUCAGAGAUGAGGUUAUAUCUCCGGUGGGUGUUUAGAGUCUUGGAGAGGAUACUGUCAUGUUAGAGAGCAUGUGGGAUUGGAAAGAAAUGAUCUAAAAUGUGGGACAGCUACUGACACUUACAAUAUAGUCUGUUAUAUGAUCAAAUGAUAUCUUUUACUUACAAAACACUACCUCCAACAUUUUUUGGUAAAAAGGAUAUAGUGUUCUUGCAGCCCGACUAGUAGGGAGUUGUGCUUGCAGCACGAAUGUCAUAGGUUCGAUACUGUAAAAAAAUCUGUAGAAAUUGCAGCUGGGUUGCCGGUAACUUACCGUAGAUUUAAAUUUAUGUUUUUUACUGGCAACAUUUUGUUCAAAGUUAAAUGAACAUUAAACAUUUACAGGUCUUUGUUUUUACAGAGUAAAACUAAAAAGCAGCAUCAAGCAAAACAUUCUGGAAAACAAAAUCUGAAGCAAAAAACAGAAAAAGGUUGAUGAUGAUUUCUGGUUCCCAGAAUGCUUUGCAUGAGGCUGUUAUUGUAUAGUUUUAUUCUGUAAAGAUAAAGACUUGGUAAUAUUUAAAAUGUAUUUAACUUUGAACAAACUCUUGCCAGUAAAUAACAUAAAUGUAAAUCUACGGUAAAUUACCGGCAACCAGCUGCAAUAACAUUGUAAUUUCUACGGAAUAUUUUUAUAGUGUACUGAUCAAAUGUAUAGCUAAUAAUAUACUGUAAGUCGCUUUAAAUUAAAGCUUCUGCCAAAUGCAUAAAUAUAAAUGAUACAACACUUUGGUAACAUCAUGCUUUCUUUAUAAACCAUGUUAUUGCAAUAUGGCAUUUGAUUAUAAUCAUUCACUAUCAUGCAAUAUUUUAAGUAUUAUCAUCUAAUACUAUGAUGAUUUGUUAAUACUGUAAAUAUUCGUUGAAUAUAGUGUAUAAAUGUCUUAAUUUUAAAUCAAUUAUAAUCAAUAAUUUAUAUAAAAGUAUAUAUCAUUUUAUACUAAUUGUUAUUAUAAAAGUAUUAAUAAUUAUUGUAUUAUUGUUAAUUUAUUAAUAAAAUAGGUAGCACUC